rnacentral:rRNA from 1 species
UACCAGCACCCCGAGUGGUCGGGACGAUUAUUGGGCCUAAAGCAUCCGUAGCCGGUUCUGCAAGUCCUCCGUUAAAUCCAGCUGCUCAACAGAUGGGCCGCGGAGGAUACUACAGAGCUAGGAGGCAGGAGAGGCAAGCGGUACUCAGUGGGUAGGGGUAAAAUCCGUUGAUCCAUUGAAGACCACCAGUGGCGAAGGCGGCUUGCCAGAAUGCGCUCGACGGUGAGGGAUGAAAGCGUGGGGAGCAAACAGG